CUCUGGUCCUGAGCAUAAAGCCAGAAAACCACAGAGAAGGAGCCUGUCUGGGAGUUGAGGACUUCUGUUUCUCAUCUGCGGCUGGGGGAUGACGAGAAUGAUGUGAAGACCUCUCCUUCCGCCUGCUUUAGCAACAGUCACUACGCACCCACCCUGGGUGGGGCGCUGGGGCAUGAAGUGAGGACCACAACAGGGACUGCUGCUCCCUGGGAGCUUCCAGCAGGCUGAGUUGUCACUCUGGAGCUCCACGGCUGUGGACGGGAAUUGAAACACUGGUGACUGUCACUGCUGUGACAUUCUUUGGGCACCCCCAGGGUCUGCUGUUGCUACAAGAGAUGCUUGAUGCCUCGUUCACUUUGUUGCUGAGAGCUGGAUUACAGAGGCCUCCUGAAAAGAGCAAAAGGUGCUGAAUGUUGGAAGACAGUGUACAAGGGAACCCAGGCGGAGGGUAAGAGUCACUGGAAAACAAAAGAAACGGUUUUUAAUUCAAAGAUGUUUGGGUGCUGGAGGCACUGUGCCUGGACUUGCACUUAUAGGAGGCAGCUGGGGACGGGUGCGGAGGUGGGGAUGGAAGAGAACACUGUGCUUCUGUGGGUGACAACGGAAAGCCUGGCCUGGGCGUUGGGCAGCACAGGAUUAGAGAGGAAAGAGACCAGGAAGGGGGUCCCGGCUAGGGAGGUGGCAGCACUGCCUGGUUCCUGUGAUGAAGCCUCAGAUGGUCCAGGAUUAAUGGGUAGAGGGGGAAGGGGUGCAGUUUUAUUGAGCACCUACUAUGUGCCAGGCCUCAUGGUAAGCGCUUCCGUAUACUCUGCAGCUCAUAGGACACGAGGUCUCUUCUCGAGCACUAAACACAGUUCCCAGUACCUGCCUCCUGCGGCGAGCUGUAAGCCCCACAGGGGCAGGACCAGUGUCUGUCUUGUGUCUGCUGUGUCCUCAGGACCUGUCAUAUUUUAGGUGCUCCACAAUGAUUUUGAAUGAUGCAACUUUCUUUUCCUCUCCCUCCUUCCUGCCCUCUUUCGUUUUCUCCCUCCCUUCCCUUCCUCUUCCCUUGUUCCAAGAUAAGGUGAGACAUCUCUUUUAAUCCUUCAAAUAGCCCAAAGUUAGGCUGUGGUUUGAGGAGUUUAUUUUGAAAACAUUGGGGAGAGUUUUACCAGAUCCAGUCGGUAGUGGAUUUUACAACGAAGGAACUAAAGUUGAGAAGUGUUAAGUUACUUGCCUAAGGUCACACAGCUAAAAAGUAGUGGGGCUGAAAUCUGACCCAGUUACCUCUGAGGGCAAACACGCUUCCUCCCUAAGUGAGGGAACUAAGAAAACUUGGCCCCAGAGAUGGACAAAGCGAGGCCAGUAUUGCUGCAGCUGUGCGAUGCCAGGAAAAUGACUCCUCCCUCCACCCGCAUGGGUUUCUGUGUCCUGGUCUGAAGAAUCAGGCUGAGAUGUAACUGGAGGAGAAGCAGGCAGGACCAGGCUCCGGGACCCCCAGGCCAGCAGGGCUGAGGCAAGAAUCUGGGGCCACUCCAGGAGGAGAUGAUCUUAAGAUGAACCCGCACCAGUUGAGCUCUGUCUGACCUCUACCCAUCCGCAGUAAAUUGGUCCCUACUUCACAAAAGGUGACUAAUAAG